rnacentral:rRNA from 1 species
UGGCGGACGGGGGAGUAAUGUCUGGGAAACGUGCCUGAUGGAGGGGGAUAACUACUGGAAACGGUAGCUAAUACCGCAUAACGUCGCAAGACCAAAGAGGGGGACCUUAGGGCCUCUUGCCAUCGGAUGUGCCCAGAUGGGAUUAGCUAGUAGGUGGGGUAAAGGCUCACCUAGGCGACGAUCCCUAGCUGGUCUGAGAGGAUGACCAGCCACACUGGAACUGAGACACGGUCCAG